rnacentral:lncRNA from 1 species
GAGGAUAAUACAGGAGGAUCAUCCCCACUGGUGGUCUACAUAAAAGGCAACCCCUGGUCCUACCUGCGCAGUGACUCUGAGGUGCCAUGGUUGCAUUUUUAGCCCCUGCCCAACAGAACACUGAUGAUGGGAGAACUGUAUAUCCAGAUGCUGUGUCUAAUCACUGGGUCAAGCUGAUGAUGACUCAGAGCUGCUGAGUUCCCUCUGCCAGAAAAAGGUGCUGAAACCCUCAGGGUAAGAAGGGAGGAAAAAAAAGUAUUUUGAAGUGUAAGGGCUGGAAUCAAAUACACCUUGACGAGCAAAGAUUCAGCUCAGAUCUUAAUCUUACAACAUCCCCAGGGUUAAUCUAAGGAGAAAAAGAAUGAAAACUAACCUACGUGUCAGGACAUUAUAAAUAUUCAUAGGAUGUAGUUUUAAGUGGACUACAAAAAAGCUGAAAAAUAGGAGAGUGGAAGAUACAAGUUAUGAAGUCCUUAAAGGAGUUGUGUGGAAAAUAUUCAUAAGAAGAGAAUGUUGUUUUAUUCGCAAAUAACAUGAAGGAAGUCUAGAUAGUUUCUGACAGGGAAAUCAGUGGUAGCUGAUCCUACUUCUUUGGGCUUGUGCAUAUUGCUUUUCUGCCCAGUUUCUAGUUUCUUUAGAAACUCUUGAAAAUAGGAAGCCAUUUUGAAUGCCUGGUUGCCUAAGAUGGUCUGAAUAUUCCCUUUAGGGAGCAGAAUUAUGAUCAGAUACUACAAUAGAUUCCUGCCUGGAAAGGAGGAAACUGAAAGGAGCCUACAGUGUAAACUCUUAGUAGUAAGCAAUAAAUAGCCUGAUCAAUACA